CCUGGCUCAGGACGAACGCUGGCGGCGUGCCUAAUACAUGCAAGUCGAGCGGACAGAAGGGAGCUUGCUCCCGGAUGUUAGCGGCGGACGGGUGAGUAACACGUGGGUAACCUGCCUGUAAGACUGGGAUAACUCCGGGAAACCGGAGCUAAUACCGGAUAGUUCCUUGAACCGCAUGGUUCAAGGAUGAAAGACGGUUUCGGCUGUCACUUACAGAUGGACCCGCGGCGCAUUAGCUAGUUGGUGGGGUAAUGGCUCACCAAGGCGACGAUGCGUAGCCGACCUGAGAGGGUGAUCGGCCACACUGGGACUGAGACACGGCCCAGACUCCUACGGGAGGCAGCAGUAGGGAAUCUUCCGCAAUGGACGAAAGUCUGACGGAGCAACGCCGCGUGAGUGAUGAAGGUUUUCGGAUCGUAAAGCUCUGUUGUUAGGGAAGAACAAGUGCGAGAGUAACUGCUCGCACCUUGACGGUACCUAACCAGAAAGCCACGGCUAACUACGUGCCAGCAGCCGCGGUAAUACGUAGGUGGCAAGCGUUGUCCGGAAUUAUUGGGCGUAAAGGGCUCGCAGGCGGUUUCUUAAGUCUGAUGUGAAAGCCCCCGGCUCAACCGGGGAGGGUCAUUGGAAACUGGGAAACUUGAGUGCAGAAGAGGAGAGUGGAAUUCCACGUGUAGCGGUGAAAUGCGUAGAGAUGUGGAGGAACACCAGUGGCGAAGGCGACUCUCUGGUCUGUAACUGACGCUGAGGAGCGAAAGCGUGGGGAGCGAACAGGAUUAGAUACCCUGGUAGUCCACGCCGUAAACGAUGAGUGCUAAGUGUUAGGGGGUUUCCGCCCCUUAGUGCUGCAGCUAACGCAU
rnacentral:rRNA from 1 species